rnacentral:misc_RNA from 1 species
GAUGAAGAACGUAGUGAAAUGCGAUAAGUAAUGUGAAUUGCAGAAUCCAGUGAAUCAUCGAAUCUUUGAACGCACAUUGCGCCCGCCAGCAUUCUGGCGGGCAUGCCUGUUCGAGCGUCAUUUCAACCCUCGACCUCCCUUUGGGGAAGUCGGCGUUGGGGACCGGCAGCACACCGCCGGCCCUGAAAUGGAGUGGCGGCCCGUCCGCGGCGACCUCUGCGUAGUAAUCCAACUCGCACCGGAACCCCGACGCGGCCACGCCGUAAAACACCCAACUUCUGAACGUUGACCUCGAAUCAGGUAGGACUACCCGCUGAACUUAAGCAUAUCAAUAAGCGGAGGA